rnacentral:rRNA from 1 species
UGUGUGCCUCUAUUGGUCUUUUAGAGGCACCUUAAUGAGAAAUAGGGGCGGCUCGGGGGCAUUUGUAUUCAAUUGCUAGAGGUGAAAUUCUUGGAUUUAUUGAAGACAAACUAUUGCGAAAGCAUUUGCCAAGGACGCUUUCAUUGAUCAAGAACGAAGGUCGGGGGAUCGAAAACGAUUAGAUACCGUUGUAGUCUCGACAGUAAACUAUGCCAACCGGCGAUGGGUGAGGGUUUUCUUAAUGACCUCAUCUGCAGCCAAAGAGAAAUCUUGAGUGCGGUUCGUGGGGGAGUACGGUCACAAGGCUGAAACUUAAAGGAAUUGACGGAAGGGCACCACCAGGAGUGGAGCCUGCGGCUUAAUUUGACUCAACACGGGGAAACUCACCAGGUCCAGA